GGGAACUGUAGCCCUAGCUGACAUCAUAAUUUCAAGGAUCUGAAUUGACGCUGCGCUUUGAUGAAGACCUGUCUUCAUUAAUCUGAGGAAAAGUUGGCGUCAAACAAACUUUCUGAGGGUGCUGAAAGACCCUCUACAGGUGCCCAUCCAGAUCUUCACUGAGCUUUAGACAUCCCGUGCGGUCGCAAUGACUGUUUUCGGUGUAGCAGUGUGCCGUUUUCGGUCAAUCUGACGCGAAAGGAUCGAUGAUCGUCCGAUGCGCAAAUGGGGAUCUGCCAGUUCACAAGGAUAUCAAAGCAGCUCGACGGACUGAAAGCGUUUCAGUUAUUUUGGUUUCAUUUUGUUUAUCCAGAAGGCAACACAUGGCUGGAAUGCCGAGGAAGGAGCUGUCAGAUAUCGAGAAUAUUUUGGCCUUGAACCGACGGGUGCAGACGUACACCGGGCUUUACUCGGAGAAGAAACCAGAGAUAAAGCGCUGGAAGAGGAACCCGGAGAAAGGCUGCGAGGGAUGUGCGGGUGUCGCUCAGAGCUAACGUGGCUCCAUGGCACAGUUAUCGUUUUGGGAGCUGGAGACGUGGCCUUCGACUGUGACACUUCUUCCCGUGCAUGGUCUUCAAGAAGGGCUUCAGCAACAUACGGGCGGUACCU